AGAAGCCAUCAAGUAUCAAAAAAGAACAUACGGUAAAAGGUUGGGCAGAAUAGAUGGUAAAAAGAGUUAGUUCUCUUCCAAAAGCCACAUGCACUCUCUCUCUAGCACGCUGCUAUGAUAUGUCACAAUACGUCCAACAAUCCAUUCAAGAGCACAGCAGAGGCAGCAGUGGGUACGGCUUUGGAAGAUCUAGUCUGCCCUUCCACCAUCAACUGCAGGAUCUUGAGCAAGUCAUUUAACCCCUCUGAGCCUCGGUCUCCUCAAAUGUGAAUCGAAGAGAAUACUCUCUCCCCAGCAGACCUCAAAACACUUUGAUACCGGAGAACAUGGCGCACUUUUGUUGCUGUUACUAGGCUGGCUUUGUUCGAGGAUGCUGAGAAACUGUCCAGUAUUCUUUGAAGUACUGAGCGGCAUCAGUUCAUCUCAAAGAUCACUUCUGUCUAGUGGCAAAAGAUCUUGAAGUUCCCGUUCAAGUCAGCAGAAAAGUCAUGUAAGAGCAGAUCAGCCCUGUCUUAGUGGCGCCUCCAUCACUUCAGGUCUACACUUACUUAGUGAGGCUGAGAAAGAAGUGGGAGAACGACUGCUAUAUCUCUGAUCCAAAAACAACAAAAUAGGUGCCAGCCCUCUAGCUGACAGGUCAAUAGACAGUCUUCCCUGAAUGGGAAGCACAAUGAGCACACUUCAUAAUUCUAGGGUUUGAGACGAUGACUAACACCUUGUGUUACAG
rnacentral:lncRNA from 1 species